rnacentral:rRNA from 1 species
CCUACGGGAGGCAGCAGUGAGGAAUAUUGGUCAAUGGUCGGGAGGCUGAACCAGCCAAGUCGCGUGAAGGAAGAAGGUACUAAGGAUUGUAAACUUCUUUUAUAAGGGAAUAAAGAUAGGCACGUGUGCCUGUUUGCAUGUACCUUAUGAAUAAGCAUCGGCUAACUCCGUGCCAGCAGCCGCGGUAAUACGGAGGGUGCGAGCGUUAUUCGGAUUUAUUGGGUUUAAAGGGUGCGUAGGCGGGAUGUUAAGUCAGGGGUGAAAGCCCGGGGCUCAACCGGGGAACUGCCUUUGAAACUGGCAGUCUGGAGUGUGGGAGAGGUAGGUGGAAUGCGAGGUGUAGCGGUGAAAUGCGUAGAUAUCGCGAAGAACACCGAUUGCGAAGGCAGCUAUCUGGCACAUCACUGACGCUGAGGCUCGAAAGCGUGGGUAUCAAACAGGAUUAGAUACCCCAGUAGUC